rnacentral:rRNA from 1 species
UACGUAGGUGGCAAGCGUUGUCCGGAAUUAUUGGGCGUAAAGCGCGUGUAGGCGGCUCGCUAAGUCUGGUGUGAAAUCCCUGAGCUCAACUCAGGAAUUGCAUUGGAAACUGGUGAGCUUGAGUCCAGAAGAGGUAUGUGGAACUCCGAGUGUAGAGGUGAAAUUCGUAGAUAUUCGGAAGAACACCAGUGGCGAAGGCGACAUACUGGUCCGUUACUGACGCUGAGGCUCGAAAGCGUGGGGAGCGAUCCGG